UACGAAGGGGGCUAGCGUUGCUCGGAAUCACUGGGCGUAAAGGGUGCGUAGGCGGGUCUUUAAGUCAGGGGUGAAAUCCUGGAGCUCAACUCCAGAACUGCCUUUGAUACUGAAGAUCUUGAGUUCGGGAGAGGUGAGUGGAACUGCGAGUGUAGAGGUGAAAUUCGUAGAUAUUCGCAAGAACACCAGUGGCGAAGGCGGCUCACUGGCCCGGUACUGAUGCUGAGGUGCGAAAGCGUGGGGAGCAAACAGG
rnacentral:rRNA from 1 species